UGUCUUUUAGAAAUUAAUUUAAAGUCUAACCUGCCCACUGAAUUUUUUUAAAUGGCCGCAGUAUCCUAACUGUGCAAAGGUAGCAUAAUCAUUAGUCUUUUAAUUGAAGGCUGGAAUGAAUGGUUGGAUGAAAUAUUAACUGUUUCAUAAAAAUUUAUAAUAGAAUUUUAUUUUUUAGUCAAAAAGCUAAAAUUUAAUUAAAAGACGAGAAGACCCUAUAAAUCUUUAUAUUUAGAAAAUUACAAUUAUAUAGAUAAUUUAAAUUUUAAUUUUUUAUAAUAUUUUAUUGGGGUGAUAUUAAAAUUUAAUAAACUUUUAAUUUAUAAUUUACAUAAAUUAAUGAAUUUUUGAUCCAUUUAUUAUGAUUAAAAAAUUAAGUUACUUUAGGGAUAACAGCGUAAUUUUUUUAGAGAGUUCAUAUUGAUAAAAAAGAUUGCGACCUCGAUGUUGGAUUAAGAUACAGUUUUAGGUGCAGCAGCUUAAACUUAAAGUCUGUUCGACUUUUAAAUUCUUACAUGAU
rnacentral:rRNA from 3 species